rnacentral:rRNA from 1 species
GCCUGAUCCAGCCAUGCCGCGUGUGUGAAGAAGGUCUUCGGAUUGUAAAGCACUUUAAGUUGGGAGGAAGGGCAGUAAGUUAAUACCUUCUUUGUUUGACGUUACCCACAGAAUAAGCACCGGCUAACUUCGUGCCAGCCGCCGCGGUAA